UACAUGGGGUGCAAACGUUGCUCGGAAUUAUUGGGGCGUAAAGCGCGCGGUAGGCGGUUACUCAAGUCGGAUGUGAAAGCCCUCGGCUUAACUGAGGAAGUGCACCCGAAACUGAGUAGCUAGAGUACUAAAGAGGGUCGCGGAAUUCCCGGUGUAGAGGUGAAAUUCGUAGAUAUCGGGAGGAACACCGGUGGCGAAGGCGGCGACCUGGGUAGAUACUGACGCUGAGGCGCGAAAGCGGUGGGGAGCAAACAGG
rnacentral:rRNA from 1 species